rnacentral:rRNA from 1 species
GACGAACGCUGGCGGCGUGCCUAAUACAUGCAAGUUGAGCGAUGAAGCUUGGUGCUUGCCCCAAUUUGAAGAGCAGCGAACGGGUGAGUAACGCGUGGGGAAUCUGCCUUUGAGCGGGGGACAACAUUUGGAAACGAAUGCUAAUACCGCAUAACAACUUUAAACAUAAGUUUUAAGUUUGAAAGAUGCAAUUGCAUCACUCAAAGAUGAUCCCGCGUUGUAUUAGCUAGUUGGUGAGGUAAAGGCUCACCAAGGCGAUGAUACAUAGCCGACCUGAGAGGGUGAUCGGCCACAGUGGGACUGAGACACGGCCCAAACGCCUACGGGAGGCAGCAGGAGGGAAUCUUCGGCAAUGGACGAAAGGCUGACCGAGCAACGCCGCGUGAGUGAAGAAGGGUUUCGGAUCGUAAAACUCUGUUGGUAGAGAAGAACGUUGGUGAGAGUGGAAAGCUCAUCAAGUGACGGUAACUACCCAGAAAGGGACGGCUAACUACGUG